UACGUAGGGUCCGAGCGUUUGUCCGGAAUUAUUGGGCGAAAGAGCUCGUAGGCGGUUUGUCGCGUCUGCUGUGAAAUCCCGAGGCUCAACCUCGGGUCUGCAGUGGGUACGGGCAGACUGGAGUGCGGUAGGGGAGAAUGGAAUUCCUGGUGUAGCGGUGGAAUGCGCAGAUAUCAGGAGGAACACCGAUGGCGAAGGCAGUUCUCUGGGCCGUAACUGACGCUGAGGAGCGAAAGCGUGGGGAGCGAACAGG
rnacentral:rRNA from 1 species